rnacentral:lncRNA from 1 species
AUUUCAAAUCUGCAGGCACAAUCUGCCUUUGAAUGGCAAACACUUUGGCAGGAGCCUGGCUGCUGAAGAUCUGAGAUAGUAGCUGCCUGCCUCUUAGCAUUUUAGACUAAGUUCCUCUACUCCCUUAUCUUCUUAAUUUCCCAGCAAACAAUGGACUAUUGACUGAGCUUUCAGAGCUGUGGGUGUUCUUGGAGGGAGGCCGGCCAGAACUCCAGUGUCUCGGCUUUUGCUCCAACACCCAAGCCAGGCUCCAUCUAUCAGAAAUAUGAAACCCUGGAGUCUUCCUCCUCCUCACCUCUCUGCCUUAAGGCACAGGCAGCUGGAGGAGAGAACCUUGUGCCCAAGGUGUAUGUACAUGCAUGUAUGUGUGCCCGUGCAUCUGUAGGCAUGAGUGCAAGCAUGUGCUUGUGUGUGUUGGCAGUGUGGGUGUGUGAGAGGAGGGCAAGGUGCAUCUACCUGGCCAGUGAUGCCGGCACUUCCCAGGCACACACCUUUCCUAGGGCAGGGUGCACCGAUAGGAAGCAGUGUGGGCUGGAAAAUGAGAAGCCUUAUCAACCAUGUCUUUUCUUGGAGGAGCAAGAAAAAGCUCCAGGGUCCUUUUCUUCCCCCGUCAGGUGAGCCAGGAAACUAGCUCCCAAACUUUCAUGGCCAUGUGCACAGAGACACUUGGCAAAGACACUGACUUCCCCAUUCUGGGCUGUCUUACCCUUAAAGUCCGUAUGGGAGUUAGUAUCCUGGUAACAAACACCCGCUGGCACUUUGAUAGGAACCGGCUGAGAAAUGGUGUCCUGGGAACACUUCAGAGAAGGAUCCUGAAUCUUGGCUGGAUCGCUCAGCUUUGGUUUCUCACGGGGUUCAGGACACAUUCCUCCAAAAUGUGGCACCUUGGCAUAUUGAAUAUUUCAAGCUGAAGGAAUGUGAGAAAUGGCACGUGCAGGAAGGACUUUCCCCUGAAGCAGGUCAUAAAACCCACACGUGAGAGGUGCCCUCCCUGUACCUGGAGGAAAGGAACAGCUUUAUCUCCGAAGAAGACACUGGAGGGACACAGAAGGAAUUUGAACAAGCAGGUCUUGUUAACUUUCCCCCAGUUUACGACACUCAGCUCAUAUGCUUUGUUCUAUCUUAUCUUCCCAUGACUCCCCGCUCUUCAUCAAACCUGGCAUAAAAACACUCAGCUUUAACUGAGUUCUUCACGUCUUGAUUUCCUCAUGAAGGCUCUCAUGUCAUAUAAAACUUAUAUUAAAUAAAUCUGUAUGCUUUUGUCUUGUUAAUCUGUCUUUUGUUACAGGGGUCCUGGUUGAGAACUUAAAAGAGUAGAGGAAAAAGCUAUUUUUCUCCUCUACCCUACAAAUGGAGAAAACCUCGACUUGUGUUUAAAUGUUUUGGGAGAGCGUUGUAGAGUGGACAAACAGGAUGGGGAAUUCCAGUCAAGUUCCCGAGUGGAGCACAGCGCCUGCCACAUAUGAUGACUGUGUCGUCUUCAUUUCAGCGUCUCUGGAAUCCUAGCUCAGAGCCUGGAAUAUGGAAGAUGCUCCAUAAGUGUUUGUUGAAGGAAUUAUUGAUAACCAGUUGGGCCAAUACCUGCUUCCAGAUUAGGGCAUGUACUCAGGGGGAAAAUGGCAGAGCUUGUUCCCCUUGGAAGGCUAAUGGAGCCAGGCACCCAGAGAUCAUACCAUCCUCCACGUCACAUUCCCUGCCAGCCCCUCAGAGGGAAAUGAGAUCUCCUACUGGGACCCUGGGCAUCCCAUUUGGGUGAAGGCAUGGUCUCCGAGAGGAGCUUCUGUACUCUUGUGAAGAUGUCUCUUUGAAGGACUCUUGGUUUCCCAGUACGUUUUCAGUCCUUGGUUCCACAAAACUGUGGGGCAUUGCUAACACAUGCAUCCAUGAGCCCUGAGUUAACCUAGCCUCCCCAGCUUCAGCUUCAGUUUCCCUCUUAGGUGAGUCCGUAUCUUAGGAGGUGAGGCUGUUGACAGCACUCUCAACUCGGAAUAGAGAUGUACUAUGCAGUCCUCAAAGAGCAAACAGUUUAACAUCAAGCUUCCUCACCUCCGUUCUGACAUUCGCUAUUCUGAGGUGAAGUAUCCGAGGGCCCACCGAUGGCUUUUACUCCUGCAUGGUUAUGAGGUGACAGAAGUGUUUGUCUUGUUGGGUUUUUAGUUAGAAGACCAAAAAGCAAACUAGAUCACUAUGUCACUUAUGCCCAGAUCCCGGAGAUCGAAACUACUUGGGAAUGUUUAGGGGGACAGUGUGUGCCUGUUGGCCUUCCCAGCUAGGCCACAAAGCAGACCCUACCUCUGCAGGUUGUCCUAGAAGCACGCAUCUGCGUGGUAGCACCACACCAGAGUACUCCAGGACAGAUUUCUGCUUUCUCUCGAGAUGAAGAAACAAGAGACUGGAUUUACUCCCUCUCCUAAAACUGCUAAAACAUCAGAUAAGAUAUAUGAAUAAGACACUAGACAUCAGCCAAUGAAAACCAGUGAUCCCUGGGAGGUGAGAAAAAAUGAAGUGAGCCAUGGGAUUACCGGAGUCUGCUGCCUUGAGAGAGUUUGCGGACCAUGAGGUGGGAAGGGGAACCCAGGCAGAGCCCAGUGGACUCCCUGAGAUGAGGAGAUGGAGCUGAGUGUCCAGGGAGAGCAAGUCCACAGGGCUAGAGGGCACAGGACAGAGAGAGAACUUUGGAGGGCUGCAGAAGCUCCCUUUGUGUAUUUAGCAGAGCAGCGAUCUACACAAGGCCAAGGCAAGAACCACGUGCGAGGACUACAGGGAAUGUGCCCUGCGCUCGCACAGCACUGGGAAUAGUGCCUGUUCCCACCAGACAGACUGGGAAAUCUCACUAUACGUGGGGCACGGGGGAGAGUAUUCAGAAAGUUCUUGCCUUCGACUUCAUCAAAAUUUAUAGCUGCUUCUUUGAAAGAUACUGUUUAGAGAAUGAAAAGACAAGCCACAGAGUGGGAGAAAAUAUUUGUAAAGCAUAUAUUUUUAAAGGACUUAAUCUAGAAUAUAUAAAGAACUCUCAAACUCAGUAUUAAAAAAAAACAACUGCAUUAAAAGACAGGGAAAUGAUUUUAACAGACACUUCACUGAAGAAGAUGCUCAACACCAUUAGUCAUGCGGAAAAUGCAAAUAAAACCUCAGUGGCGUACCACUACACUCCUAUUAGAAUGGCUAACAUUAUAAACACUGAGCAUACGAAGAGUUAACAAAGAUGUGGACAAAUUGGAACUCUCAUAUCCUGCUGGUGGGAGUGCAGAAGAUGCAACCACUUUGGAAAACAGUUUGGCAGUUUCUUAAACAAUUAAGCAUACACUUACCAUACAAUCCAGCUUUUCCACUCCUGAGUGUUAACUCAGAGAAAUGGAAGCAUAUGUCCAUCUGUAUUAGUUUUCUACGGCUACCUUAACAAAGUAACACAAACUGGGUGGCUUAAAAACAACAGAAAUACAUUGUCUCACCUUUCUGGAGUCUAGAAGUCUGAGACCAAGCUGUUGGCAGGGCCAUCCUCCCUCAGAAAUCUGUAGGGGAAUCCUUCCUUGCCUCCUAGCUUCCAGCGAUUUGUUGGCAAUCUUAGGCAUUCCUGGGCUUGUUGCUGCAUACCUCCAGUCUCUGCUUUUAUUAUCACGUGGUAUUGUCUCUGUGUCUCUCUUCACAUGGCCAUCUUCAAAUAAGGACGCCAGUCACGUUGGGUUAGGGGCCCACAUACUCCGGUGUGACCUCAUCC